AUUCGCUAGUUCUUCUAGUCUACUUCCAUUGAACGGGUCAACAUCAGUUUUGUCCGGUGGAUAAAGAUAGUAGGAAUGUAGCUCCCCCGGGAGUGUUAUAGACUAUUAUUGCAUACACUGGGUGAGACUGAGGACUGCAGCUCGCCUUUUGGCCGGUCUUCGGACACGUUCGAGCUUAGGAUGUUGACAUAAUGGCUUUAAACGACCCGUCUUGAAACACGGACCAAGGAGUCA
rnacentral:rRNA from 1 species